UACAGAGGUCUCAAGCGUUGUUCGGAUUCAUUGGGCGUAAAGGGUGCGUAGGUGGCGGGGUAAGUCUGGUGUGAAAUCUCGGGGCUCAACCCCGAAACUGCAUUGGAUACUUCCUUGCUAGAGUACUGGAAAGGAAACUGGAAUUUACGGUGUAGCAGUGAAAUGCGUAGAGAUCGUAAGGAAGACCAGUGGCGAAGGCGAGUUUCUGGACAGUUACUGACGCUGAGGCACGAAGGCCAGGGGAGCAAACGGG
rnacentral:rRNA from 1 species